UGCUUUUCUUGCCACAUGUGAUUCUUUUUUUUCCACUUCUCUUUGUUUUUUUUAUUGUUACUUACUAUCCAUGGGAGAUGUGCAAAGGCCUAUGUGACAGCGGUCAGUAAGCCCAUCGUAGGGAGCAGGUGGUAGAUCCUGAAUUAGCAAUAACUUGCAGUGGUUAUUAUGCCUAGAACAAGCGAGCUGAAUUCCCAGAUAAAUGAAACUAAUUAAACAUGCUGCUAUAAAAAUGAAAGCCUUUCUUGUUUGUUUGUUUGUUUUCGGUGAGUUGGCUUUUGUUGCUGUGGCUGGUUUUGUAGCUUUGUUGUUGUUUGGGAAUUUUGUUUUAUUCUUUUUCAGUGUUGCAGCAAAUCUGCAAACAUCUGCAGACUGCUGCUGUGUUUCACAGCAAUGCUGCUAACUGCAGCAUUGGCCUUGCUUUCAGCCCCAGGUGUAACAAACGUGGUCACUGGAUUUCUAGAAGGUUCCAGAGAUGUGCAUGGAAGAAAGAGCCCUCUUGCAGAAGCAUAGCCUGGUGACUCUUCCUUCUUCCUCCCCCAUCUUCCUUCAGAAACUGCAAAACCUGUCCCUGCAGUCUGCAGGAACUUCGUGCCCACUGGAAGACUCCAUCCCAAAGGGAAGGAACCCUGUCACCAGGGCAUGCAGUGGGCAUGGGUGGCAGCUGCUUGCAUGCAGGUUUCAGAGCAACCAGAGAAACAGGUUCUGCUGAACUUGAUGAUGGCACUUCUGUACAGCCAAGAUCACUGUUCUGUGUCCAAGAGGGUCUCAAAUGUUGGGGUAGCUGCAGGUGUUGAGGAUCAUAUUUGCAGGGAGCAAUGAAUGCGCACAAGCUUGGAAACAGUCACCACGAAAUACCCAGGCCAGCCGAGGCUUCGGACAGACUGAAGAAAACAAAAAGCCAAACUGGAAGAAACAGAGAGAAAAAGCGCAGUCAGCGGGGCAGCGCUGUGCAGUGGUGCUGGGGCUGUUUGCAGAGGCUCAUCCCCCAGCUGCAAUCUUUCAGCCACGCGCUGCAGUUCGCGGAUCUGACCGCUGUGCACGGCAGUGCCCAGGUGCAGGACCCAGCCUGGCUGCUCGUACCCGCGCUCGCAGGCAAGUUGCUCGGCCAUCUGAUGGUUGGAAUAGGAUGAUUUGUAAGGUCCCUUUGAACCAAACCAUUCUGUGAUUCUUCUGCUUGGUGUUACCUGUAGAUUCUGUUCUUUCUCCACCAGCUUCUCUGAGGAUGGUAAUUCCUCCACCUUGUGCAGUGUUCUGCUGCUGCUCCUUUGACAGCUGUUUGUAAGGAGCUGACUCCUGUCCGUGCUGUUUCUGUGGUCUCAAUUCAGCUGUCUAAAUGGGAGUUUCUCCAAUUUCUCACGCUCUGGCAAAUCCUGCUGGCCUCCAGCUGUGGGUCCCAGUGGUCUGAGGUCUGCUGCAAGGGCAGCCACGUGCUUGCAGUGUCCAGAGCAGCCCCAGCCAUGGCAGAACUGGAUGCUUCCAUGCAGGAGAAUGAAUCAAGCCUCGCUUUUCUCUAUUCUCUGUUGCAUCUCAAAGUAGUAAUAACUGUUAAGAAUGGAACAUGUUCAUCCUUCAAGAAUCUUCUCUCAUCCAUCUUCUAGAGCUUUCACUCAAGCUGACCUUUCUGAAUGUCUGGCUGGAGACUUUCCUCUUCAGUUGAAUGAACUUGGAGCAUCUUUGGAUGCUCUGCUGGAAGGAAAUUCGGAGACAACCAGAACGUACGCAGAGGUUCUCAGGCAUCUGCUGGGAAUAUGGCCCAUGUUCUCAUGAUCCAGCGUGCCAGACAGGAUGAAUUACUGCUCCAAAUGCAUUAAGCCUUUUACGUUCCAAGUGGUUGUGCAGUGGGAGCCACUGGUGGUGCUGAUUGAAAUUCCUGUAACCAUAUUACGGGAGGGAGCGGGUGCCAGACACACAAGCAUCCAUAUGCCCAGCUAAAUUUACUCAGAAUUGAUUAAGUUACGCUGAAGGAGACCCAGAAAUCAAUCUGUUUGGGCUUGCUCAUGGAAAAAUGACACACUGGAGGUGACACAACUUAAUUCUGUUUUCAUCGCUCUCUCCCAUGCAAGUAGGAUGGGCAUAUUGCAUCUCACGUGUCUUCUCCCCAGUUAAUUAUAUUUGUGAAGAUUAUAUAUA
ensembl:lncRNA